GAUGAACGCUGGCGGCGCGCCUAACACAUGCAAGUCGAACGAUUAAAGCACCUUCGGGUGUGUAUAAAGUGGCGAACGGCUGAGUAACACGUGGGCAACCUGCCCCUUUCAUUGGGAUAGCCACGGGAAACCGUGGAUAAUACCGAAUACUUCGAGACUUCCGCAUGGAAGACUCGAGAAAGCUCCGGCGGAGAGGGAUGGGCCCGCGGCCUGUUAGCUUGUUGGUGGGGUAACGGCCUGCCAAGGCAAUGAUGGGUAGCUGGGUUGAGAGACCGACCAGCCAGAUUGGGACUGAGACACGGCCCAGACUCCUACGGGAGGCAGCAGUGGGGAAUCUUGCACAAUGGGCGAAAGCCUGAUGCAGCGACGCCGCGUGCGGGAUGAAGGCCUUCGGGUUGUAAACCGCUUUCAGCAGGGACGAGGCGAAAGUGACGGUACCUGCAGAAGAAGCCCCGGCUAACUACGUG
rnacentral:rRNA from 1 species